rnacentral:pre_miRNA from 1 species
GCUGUGUUUGGCAAUGGUAGAACUCACACUGGUGAGGUAAUGGGAUCCGGUGGUUCUAGACUUGCCAACUAUGGCC